CUUCACUCCUAGUGACCCAGUGAGUCGACUUACAGAGCUGGUGAAAGCAUUUUCUUUUGCUGAUCUCUAGCCCAAGGAUACAAAAAUCCUUCAGCUCUUCAUCACAAUCAUCUCUCCUUAUCUCUUGUUAAAGGUGGUCAAGGCCAUCAACCGGGUGCUGCUCCGCAGGGUGGUCCACCUCGCCAACCCGGACGCAGUUGGGGUUCGGUGCCCUUGGCUUCCCCUACUGCCGGGAGGCCAUUGACGUGAUGCACAUUCCCAUCCAUGUCCCGGAACACCAGGCCUCCAAGUACAUUAACCGAAACGGAUACUUCUCCGUCCUCCUGCAGGCUGUGCCUGACCAC